rnacentral:rRNA from 1 species
GACGAACGCUGGCGGCGUGCUUAACACAUGCAAGUCGAACGGAAAGGCCCUGCUUUUGUGGGGUGCUCGAGUGGCGAACGGGUGAGUAACACGUGAGUAACCUGCCCUUGACUUUGGGAUAACUUCAGGAAACUGGGGCUAAUACCGGAUAGGAGCUCCUGCUGCAUGGUGGGGGUUGGAAAUUUUCGGCGGUUGGGGAUGGACUCGCGGCUUAUCAGCUUGUUGGUGGGGUAGUGGCUUACCAAGGCUUUGACGGGUAGCCGGCCUGAGAGGGUGACCGGCCACAUUGGGACUGAGAUACGGCACAGACUACUACGGGAGGCAGCAGUGGGGAAUAUUGAACAAUGGGCGGAAGACUGAUGCAGCAACGCCGCGUGCGGGAUGACGGCCUUCGGGUUGUAACCCGCUUUCGCCUGUGACGAAGCGUGAGUGACGGUAAUGGGUAAAGAAGCACCGGCUAACUACGUG